CAAAAUUUUUGUAUCUCCUGCUUUGAGGUGUCUCAAAAUGCAACAAACAUAAAAUCAACAAUGGGCUGUUUUUCCAAAUUAUUAUACUGCCUGUCAAAAUGGCUAUAUGGUUUGAUAUUUGCUGGAAUCUGUUCUGUAUAUCAGAUUUGUAUUGCUAAGGGAAGCAAUGAAAUUGGGCAGCAAUUUGUAGUAGAAUUAAGGUCAAGGGAAGGUUUCUUGAGUAUGGAAGUGACCAUUGAAUGAAAUGGGACAGUAUGAACCAGUGUAAAUGGAUAGGUUGAAUACAUGAGUGAGAGCAGAAGUGAGAUAGAAGACAGAGGAAGUUUUAGAUGUGAUGGUCA